GGGGGCGACCUGGUCUCGACGGUGGAGAAUUGGGCCAGAGACUGCAUGCCGAGCUGCUGCACGCUCGUAAAACCUGCAGCAAAAAACAACUGCCAACGCAGACUACGCACUGGCUGCCUAAUUUGAGCGGCCACGUCCUUCCAGAACCAUUCCCCCCGGUUCUGGAAUAGGGCGUCAUGAGAGGGGGAUACUCCUGCAUCCUGCCUGCGGGUGCAGGGGGAAAGGCAUGCAGGCAACCCCCAUCACAAUCCUGCCCCUGGGAGUGUGAUGGGAGGAGAAAAACAGGGGAUAAGCAUGUAGAUGUCUCUGGAACUGCUUCACCGGACGCGGGUUCGAUUCCCGCCGCCUCCACCA
rnacentral:tmRNA from 1 species